CCCUCUGGGCGGAGGGGGCUCCGCGGCCACUCGGGUGACCAGCGGGGACCCAGUCCCCGAGAACGGAUCGAGGCAGGAACGGAGAAGGGAGCCGGGUUCCGCGCGGACGGAACAGGAGGAAGGGGGAGGAGGGCGGGCAGGCAGCCCCUCCUGGAGCAGGUGGAGACCGACCAGUCGGCGCGGGAGGAAGGGCGGGUGGACACCUGGCCGCCUGGCCGCCGCGGGAGGAAUGAUUGGUCGCAGGCGCGUGCUCCGCCGUCUGGACAGGUCUGCUGCGCGCGGGCCCGUGCGCGGUCUCGGUAUCUCCGAGGGUUACCGAUAACGAGGAAAGGGAAGGAAUCUUGGAAGUCAGGUGGAAGCCCCUGGAGCCCAGGACAGGCUGAGCACCGCCCGGGCCUGCCCGGGGCUUGUGCUGAGGAGGACAUGCCGAGGAGGACACACGAGGCUCCUGGGGCAUUGCUGCAGAAGCUGCUUCGCCAAGUGUCCUCACCAGCGGGGGAAUCACACACGCACCCAAACUGAGGGACAUCGGCUAAACUGCGAGGCGCUCUGUUCGGCCACGAAGGGCCAGGACUGCCCUCUGGGACGGGAUUGAAGGGACAGGACAGCUGAAGGCUCCUGGCGGCUCUGGCCUCGCUGGGACAACUGGCAAAGCUUGGGCAUGCACUGGGCUGGGUGGUGGGAUUGCUGGGUUCCCCGCCCAGGGCUGAGCAUUGUCCUGGGGUGACCGCAGGAAAGGUCCUUGUUCUCAGGAGACAAACGGUGCAUGCAGGUGGAUGGGCUGUGAUGUGUGUAGUUGCCUUAUCAUGGGGGCAGGGAGCCAGCGACAGAGGGGAGCAGAUGUGGCCCAAGGCCAACGUGGUCAGUCUAGGCCCAACGUGUAUGACCUGCAAUGUGUUCGUCUUGCAACUUCUGUUUUUCGGCUGGGAAACUUUUCAAAAGGAAAAGAUUUACAAAGUGUUUUAGAGGCUCUGAGGCUGAGAAGUUAACAGAGCCCCUCCCUCCACACAACUCAAAAUCAGAACUAAAACUAAAAUAAGAGAAGUUGGACAGGGUUUUGAAUUUUCCCCACAAUGACUGUGCAGUGUUUUGGAAAUUCUAAGAACAACAUGCUUUCAAAAAAGGGUGUUUUCUCAUUUGUGUCAUCUGGCUUUGCCCUUUCGAGUGAUGGACCAGAGCGGCGUGAUGGCCCCUGGGUUGUGGCCCGGCACAUGGGCAUGAAGCGCAGGCAGGGCUGGGGCUAGGGCUGGGUGUGUGUAGACUGAGUGGACUGGAUAAUGGGGUUCCUGUGAAGACAUCCAGUGAUAGAGAAGUGAGGGCAGUCCAUGGGUCCUGCUGGAGGUCAAGGGGCAUCUCUGUGGCCCAGCAGGACAACGCUGUCAGACAGAUGAGGUGCCUGAUUGUACUUGUGCUGGACCAGUGGCCUUUCUGGAGGACAAGCAGGCAGGGUGGGGAAGGGAGAAACCAGCCCCAGCUUCUUGCCAGGCCCCGGUCCCCAUAGCAUGAGAAGGGCAUCUCUGGGUCAUGUUGUCCUUACCCAGAAACACAACAAACUCGGGUCAUAGGUGGGGUUUGAUGGAUUGCAGGUGGCUCAUGCUUCAGAAUGCAUGGGGGGGGGGGCUUUGUCACUGACCCCAUGGGGGUGGCCGAUCGCAUGAGAUUCGUGUUCAGACUGUCCUGCUUCAAACCCUGCAUGGCUUCCCUUGUCCUGCUGGACAGAGCUCAGACCAAAUUCUUAGUGACCAGAGCCCUCCCUGAAGCUGUCUCAGCCCUGACUCCAAGCCGUUCCCCAGGCCGCUCCACUCUCCUGGAAUCCCACUGCCCAUGAAGCUUCCCGAAUGUGGAUGUGGCCGCCCGCGGUGAUGCUGUCUUCUCUGCCCUAUUCCUGUGGCGUUAGGGGGCCACGGUUCAGAAGAGUAAAAAUAAACAUCCUCAGACAGACGACAUCUAGCCUUGGCAAGAACACGAGAAGCGGGAGCGCGCGUGCUGGCGGGGCGUGGGAACAGAGAGGGCGGUAGCCACUCUGGAAACCGGUUUGGGCGUUUCUUUGAAAGUUCAGACGUGAGUUCACCAUGCGACCCAGAAAUUCUACUCACAGGCACCCGCUCAAGGGAAACAGCAACCCGUGUCUGCACAAGGACUCAUAUGACAAUGCUCGGAGCAGCUUUAUUCACAGAAGCUAGAGACUGGAAGUGGAUGAACGGAUAGCAGCGUGGGGUGCAUCCCGGCAGGGUGGCGCCUAGCGCCCAGAGGACGGGGGCCCUGGUGUGCGGGCACGUCCGCGGGGCUGGGGAGCGCGCCGCUUGGCGACAGAAGCAGACUUGAGACCCCGCGGUGUGUGAUUCCUUUAGGUGAGAUGUCCAACGUCCAGAACGGGCCAAUCCGCCCAGAGAGCCGGUCAGGGUUUGCUGGAGCUGGGGGGACAGGAGCAACCGCUAACGGGCAUGAUUUGGGAGGGCAGGGACAUGGAAACACCCUAAAACUGGACUGUGGUGAUGGUUGCACAGCUCAGUAAAUUCGCUAACCAUCUUUGCAUUGGACAUGCAUUGCGGAUGAGCGUUGUAACACCUGCUCUGAUAAAACCCCAACAAGGUUACUUUGAAAGCA